GGGUGACCCCCUGGGAAGUUGGGCCGUCAUAGUUAGUACCAGAGCCAAUUACGAGCCGGAAGUGUAAGAUAAGUCUUUGCUGAGCCAGGGUUAUACUGGGGGGAGAGUGAGGCUCCCAUGCUGUUGACUAUUGUAGGUAGAGCACGGCUCCCCCACAAAGUCAGAUUAGGCUAAUGAGACGAGUCUUAUAUCGCCUAGUACUUGUGAGUUUGAGCCUGACGAGGACGUCAGAGCUUAAAGAGGGGGAGAAUGUGAGACUUCAAAUGGUCUUAUAUAUACGAUACAAUAGUGCUAAAACUCUUAACCCGGUUUAAGUAUUUUAGGUGGUGGUUAGGCCCAAGAGGUUAAGAGAGUUAAGCAUGUUAGGACGGGAGUAGUUCUAGGAUGGGU
rnacentral:lncRNA from 1 species